rnacentral:rRNA from 1 species
AGAGUUUGAUCCUGGCUCAGAAUGAACGCUAGCGGCAGGCUUAACACAUGCAAGUCGAGGGGCAGCACAGGUAGCAAUACUGGGUGGCGACCGGCGCAAGGGUGCGUAACGCGUGAGCAACAUGCCCGUAUCAGGGGGAUAAUCCAUGGAAACGUGGUCUAAUACCCCAUAGUAAGUUUUUGAGGCAUCUCAAGGAUUUUAAAGCUUUGGUGGAUACGGAUUGGCUCGCGUGACAUUAGCUGGAUGGUAGGGUAACGGCUUACCAUGGCUACGAUGUCUAGGGGUUCUGAGAGGAAGGUCCCCCACACUGGAACUGAGACACGGUCCAGACUCCUACGGGAGGCAGCAGUGAGGAAUAUUGGACAAUGGAUGGAAAUCUGAUCCAGCCAUGCCGCGUGCAGGAAGACGGCCCUAUGGGUUGUAAACUGCUUUUGUAUGGGAGCAAUAAGAUCUACGUGUAGAUUGAUGAGAGUACCAUACGAAUAAGCACCGGCUAACUCCGUGCCAGCAGCCGCGGUAAUAC